GUUUCUUCAAACACUCUGGAUAUUUACAGUUAACAAAGAUCUCUGCAAAGACUACCAUGGCACAUGUGAUUCAUCUAUCAUUACUGCAGCUAGCAGUGAGCCUGCUGCCCUGUUUUUCAACACCAAACUCUGCAUAUGGAAAAAUCAAAAUCACUCCCUGUGAUCGGUGCCCUGUUGGAGGCAUUAUUAACCAAAAUUGCAACUGCAUAGAUGGCAAAUGGAUUUUGAAAUUUGAAUGCGGUGGUCCCAAAGUUAACCAAGUCACACUGGAAGCCACUAAACUCAGUAACCCUGGGGUGAUUUCUAAAACAUGUCCUAUAAUCACAUACACAACCAGCAGUUUUCUUUUGACUGUGCAGGUAGAAGCUGGGUGUGUAAAGGUUUCUGAUGGUGAUAACAUUUGUGGAAGUUGCAACAGCGGAGUUACCAUUAAUCCUCUCAGCCAAAAGCCAACCAACUGUAUUUCAGGAAAAAAGAUUGAUAUCUCAGUGUCUAAUCGAUUUCCAAAAACAGUAAACAUAGAUUUUCGAGAUGUCCAUGAAGUAUACAAUAUUAGUGACUGUAUAGAUACAGGUUCAAAUCAAAGGCCCUGCAAUGUUAGUGUGUCUACAAGGAGUACAGCUACAUCAGUUACAAACCUGGAGUUCUACCAUGAAAACAAAAGUUGGAUUGAUGCCUUGGAGCAAUGCCAGACAGACUACACCUCCCUGGUUGAAAUCACCAACCAAACAGUGAAUGAUGAAGUGAAAAGUCUCCUGCAAAAUGAGACACACCUGGAACGAGGGGUGUGGAUUGGCCUGGAACGCUCAGUUUUUGGCAAAGAUAAGGAGUGGAUGUGGAUUUCAAAGUCCAAAGGCAUUUAUCCUGAGUGGAACAGAAGCAUAGCUGACUCAAAUAACCACUGUGCAAAGAUGAUCCUGACUGAGCAACAAGAAAUUAAGCUGCUGGAUGCCAACUGCCAUGACAGACUACCUUUCAUCUGUCAAGAAUGACUCCUUGACAGUCACAUUGUGACAGUUCCUGAUCAGGCUUCACUGAACAGUAGAUGGAUCAACUGAAGGGGCAGCUCUCUUAGAACCUGUGUCAGGUCUUUGCUGGAUUUGUGUCCUAUCUCAUAACAAUGUCAGAUACUUUUCAUCUGUUAUAGAUCGUCUUUUAAGCCUGCCUCUUGUCAUUUUGUUCUCCACUUGUAGAGUUUCCUUAUAUUUUGUUAAAAGUUCAGCAUGCUGUGUAGCAAAUAGCUCUUUGGGAAUCGCCUUGUUGGUAUUAAAAUACAACUUAAUGGCUGUUAACCUCUGUUAUCUUUGGCCUCUCCAACAGAAGGCACCUAGAGGAGUUCCCACAUAUUAUCAGUGUGGUUUGUUAUUAUCAGUUUGUUGUGCAUUUCAGUAGUCACUUGGUCACGGGACUGAAUCUGAUGUUUUUAAAGGCUUUGUUGGGGGAAAAAAAUCGAUCAUUUGUUUCAUGUUUAGUUAUAGUUGAUUGCUCACCUGGUAAGAAUGGUACAGUGGAGUAGAUGAAGCUGCAUUUUGUUUAGUUUUGUCAUAUAUUCCUUUUAUUUGGGGUUUCAGGGUUUAGGGUUUUUACCUUGGUUCUUUUAAUAUCCUUGUUAAUAAAUGUUACCUUUAUUGCACUGCCUCAAACAUGCCACAUCAUUUUCUGGUGCCUGGCAGUAACAAUUACACUGUUUGGGGUCUCAGUGCGACAUUUGCUAAACAUCAUAAUCUACUUUAAAUAUAAGACUGUACUAUUUUUAACGUAAAACAGCAAUAGUGUAUAAACAAAUAUGAAUGUAAAUCAUCUGAAAUAUUACUAUUAUUGUCUUUUUCAUUGUGAUAUAUAAUUUGUAUUGUAACAAUUAUUUUAAUACGAUAGAUUCUAAUUAUAUAUUCAAAUAUAUUGAUGAGACUAUUUAACCAGUAAGACAAUGCAGCAGAUGUGAGGUGUGGUCCAUAGUUUGUACAACAUCUUUCUCUCACUAACUCACUGUAGGGAGUUACAGAGUGGUUUUCCUGCGUAAGCCAGACUUCUGAAUUGGCUACCUGGGUGCAGUUUUCUUUACAACUGUGUGCGAAGAAAACUGCAACAGCAAACAGGUUUUUAAAAAAUGGAAAAAAAUUGUGAAAACAUUAAAUCAUUCAAGUUUCAUCAAGAAGUAGUCUCCUAUGUCCUUUCUUGCAGGGCAGAACAAGUACAGCUGAUACACUUUGUACUUUUUCCAUUGCCACAAAAAAGCAAAUUCUUCCAGAACAGAACUGGUUUAAAUUGGCCUUGGUCUUCCCAAAGUCUUCCACCAUCUCUUUCGGUUGUGACUGUAACCUUAGAAAAUGUGGUAUCGAGGCCGAUACCAGAUACCGGUAUCGGUGCAUCCCUAAUUUAAAGGGAAAGAAAUUCAAAUAAAAGCAGCUGGUGUUCUUUCCCCCAAAGUCUGCAAAGUAAGUGAGACCAAUAAUGACCAAAAUAAUGUGAUUAGGAUUUUUGCCAUAAUUGUUCAGCCUUCGUAAUCAUAAUGCCGUUUGUUCAUCCAUCUUCUUCCACUUAUCUGGGGGCAGUUUGCGGGGGCAGCAGCCUACGCAGACCUCCUUCCAAGCCACCUCCUCCAGCUUUUCUGACCAGCCGCCAGAUAGAAUCUCUCCAGCGUGUCCUGGGUCUGCCCCGGGGCCUCCUCCCAGUCAUUGCCGGGAUGACAUUUCUUCAUCUCCCCCCUAAAUCAUGGUUCUUAAAGCCAAAUCUUAUUUUAACAACUGAUCACUUUUUAACUUUUCCAUAAAGAAAGAGUCCUGAGGAAAAGUAUGAUAAUGUGCUUAA